AAUUGUCCAACGAAAUGACAUUGCUGCUGUGCUGAACGAGGCCACAACAAUCGAUAGCUAUUUCAAAAAAUUCCGAAUGAAUCACCGGGACAACGCGUACCGCAAUUGGUGUUUGGCUAAAGGACUAUCCAACUGGUUCCAAGUUCUGAGCAUCGGUGCUUCGUUUGUGAUUGGUUGCCUGAUGUACACCGGAAAUGUUGCACUCGGUGACGUCGUAGCGUUCAUCAUAACAACAUAUUGCCAAAUCAUGCCCACCACACUGUCCAGCAUGUAUUUCUUCUAUUUGGCGCAGGCCUACAAAUUCUACCGGGCGAUAAAUCGGAAAAUUCUUUCAUUGAAGUGCGGGAAGUUCGAUCAUCACCGGGUCGAUCAGUUAAAUUACAUCUCCAGCGUUGUCACCGCAUAUACGGAAAAUGUUUGCCGAUUGUUUUCGGUUCAGAUUCUGGCUUCUCUGUUUUACGCGUCAGCCUUGAUAUUGGUGGAGCUCUUCUUCAUCUACUACAACAUUCAAAAGUUUCGGAUGACCAAUUACUUGUUUGAAUUGUAUGGAGAUCUGGUGAAGAACGUUGGCUUGAUUUCAUGUUUCGUCGUUGAAAUAUAUUUCAUUUGUACGAUCACGGACUUGGUAAUGUCUGAGGUACGGAUUGUCUACCGAUAUCAGGUAAAAUCCAAAUUUUAUGAUACAAUUUUGUGACUCGGUAGGCGGAGCGUUGCGCUUCUACGAUUGCCAUUCGGAAUUCUUGGAGAAUGGAGAAAAGGCUUUGCAAGAGCGUAACAUCAAUCACUUACUUUAAAGAGACAUUUCAGUAGUUUCGGAACGUUUCAGGUGGAGAUGCUAUACCUGAGCUCAUUGAAUAAUUUGCCGAACAUCUAUUCUUGUGGCCUGUUUCGAAUAGACAGGAUGUACAUUCUGCCUGUGUUAACGUCCAUCCUGUCACAGGCCAUCAUAAUAAUUCAAUUUAAAGUAAAUGAAAGCAACGGAAAACCGUUGUCAGGAUACAGAAGUGGUUGGAAUAUGGAAGGUUUAAUGGAAAAUAAAAUUUUGAAUUUAGUCACAACGGAAUUAACGUUGCUACGGAAGGACAGAUUAUAAUUC